GUGGCGAACGGGUGAGUAACACGUGGGCAAUCUGCCCUGCACUCUGGGACAAGCCCUGGAAACGGGGUCUAAUACCGGAUGACACUCUUCCUCGCAUGGGGAGGGGUUGAAAGCUCCGGCGGUGCAGGAUGAGCCCGCGGCCUAUCAGCUUGUUGGUGAGGUAGUGGCUCACCAAGGCGACGACGGGUAGCCGGCCUGAGAGGGCGACCGGCCACACUGGGACUGAGACACGGCCCAGACUCCUACGGGAGGCAGCAGUGGGGAAUAUUGCACAAUGGGCGAAAGCCUGAUGCAGCGACGCCGCGUGAGGGAUGACGGCCUUCGGGUUGUAAACCUCUUUCAGCAGGGAAGAAGCGAAAGUGACGGUACCUGCAGAAGAAGCGCCGGCUAACUACGUGCCAGCAGCCGCGGUAAUACGUAGGGCGCAAGCGUUGUCCGGAAUUAUUGGGCGUAAAGAGCUCGUAGGCGGCUUGUCACGUCGGUUGUGAAAGCCCGGGGCUUAACCCCGGGUCUGCAGUCGAUACGGGCAGGCUAGAGUUCGGUAGGGGAGAUCGGAAUUCCUGGUGUAGCGGUGAAAUGCGCAGAUAUCAGGAGGAACACCGGUGGCGAAGGCGGAUCUCUGGGCCGAUACUGACGCUGAGGAGCGAAAGCGUGGGGAGCGAACAGGAUUAGAUACCCUGGUAGUCCACGCCGUAAACGGUGGGAACUAGGUGU
rnacentral:rRNA from 1 species